GCAGUAGAACAUGGAUAAUGUAUUUGUAAUAUUCUUGGCUAUAAAGCCAAAGAAAAAAGCGAAUGCAAAAAAGGGGGGAUUUUUUGGAAAGAAAAGAAGCAGAGAGUAUUAAUCCAAAAAGAAGGCUAUUUCAAAAAGAGAGGAGAGGGACUUACCUCGUGGCCGUGCCAUCGGAGAUUUCCCCCGUCUUUGGAUUCGGACCCGAAAUGGGGUUGAGGCCCUUUGCUUUCUUGUGUGAUAAAACUCUCCCUUUUAUUUUCUAAAGCAAAACAGGAUUUCAAGUUGUUUUCAUCUUCUUUUUUUAUCUUUUUUAUUGAUGUAUGAGAACAAAGAAAGGGAGCUCACUUACCAGGGCUUCGUGGUCAUGGUCUUAGGCCAUUUUUUCGCACCGUCGGCAACCAGAUAUGGUGGUGGUCCGGCGUCAUGUUUGGGUGAAACCCUAACAGAGGGGGUUGAGACUUUUGGGGUUUGUUUAGAAAAGGGAUUUGUAAGGUAAAAAAAAUAAUAAUAAUGAUAAAGGUUUUAAUGAAAAUUCAAAA